rnacentral:lncRNA from 1 species
ACUAACUAAUGUAGUCAGUUCUAUCAUAUUUUUUGAGAAAUCAACCCAUCCAUUGUUAAUUCCACCAUGACGAGAAAUUGAACGGGACGAGCAAAGCAAAACAAAGAGGCUACGUGAAUUGAUCAAUGGACUGUUAUCUUAUUUCACUCAUGGAGUAGAGAAUGUGGGAUCAGAUGACAAACUGAAGGUGGUGUUCCAUUCUCUGUCUUCACAACAAUACAAUAUUACAUUCAAUACAUUCAUUC